UCGUGCGGACAGAUGGGAGCUUGCUCCCUGAUGUUAGCGGCGGACGGGUGAGUAACACGUGGGUAACCUGCCUGUAAGACUGGGAUAACUCCGGGAAACCGGGGCUAAUACCGGAUGGUUGUUUGAACCGCAUGGUUCAAACAUAAAAGGUGGCUUCGGCUACCACUUACAGAUGGACCCGCGGCGCAUUAGCUAGUUGGUGAGGUAACGGCUCACCAAGGCAACGAUGCGUAGCCGACCUGAGAGGGUGAUCGGCCACACUGGGACUGAGACACGGCCCAGACUCCUACGGGAGGCAGCAGUAGGGAAUCUUCCGCAAUGGACGAAAGUCUGACGGAGCAACGCCGCGUGAGUGAUGAAGGUUUUCGGAUCGUAAAGCUCUGUUGUUAGGGAAGAACAAGUACCGUUCGAAUAGGGCGGUACCUUGACGGUACCUAACCAGAAAGCCACGGCUAACUACGUGCCAGCAGCCGCGGUAAUACGUAGGUGGCAAGCGUUGUCCGGAAUUAUUGGGCGUAAAGGGCUCGCAGGCGGUUUCUUAAGUCUGAUGUGAAAGCCCCCGGCUCAACCGGGGAGGGUCAUUGGAAACUGGGGAACUUGAGUGCAGAAGAGGAGAGUGGAAUUCCACGUGUAGCGGUGAAAUGCGUAGAGAUGUGGAGGAACACCAGUGGCGAAGGCGACUCUCUGGUCUGUAACUGACGCUGAGGAGCGAAAGCGUGGGGAGCGAACAGGAUUAGAUACCCUGGUAGUCCACGCCGUAAACGAUGAGUGCUAAGUGUUA
rnacentral:rRNA from 2 species